AGUAAGGGUGCGUUAAAAAUAUAAUUCCAUGAUCACUGAAAUGGAAACCACCCUAAUAUAUUUUUAAGAAAAUUUGGUAGAUAGGGAAAUAAUUAAUCAUUACCACAUUGCCAUACAAAAUGGUAUACCUAAGUGAGAUUCACUCGAGGUUUUUUUUGAUUCUGUGUAUCUGCGCGUCUUUUGAAGAUUAUGCUAAAUAGGGCGCAUUUUAUGUAAUACGCAUAGUUAAGAGUUCCAAUUAGGUAUGUACCCUUGAAUUCCAUCUCAAUUUAACCCCUGUUAGAGUGACAUUNNNNNNNNNNNNNNNNNNNNNNNNNNNNNNNNNNNNNNNNNNNAAACCACCCUAAUAUAUAUUUAAGAAAAUUUGGUAGAUAGGGAAAUAAUUAAUCAUUACCACAUUUCCAUACAAAAUGGUAUACCUAAGUGAGAUUCACUCGAGGUUUUUUUUUGAUUCUGUGUAUCUGCGCGUCUUUUGAAGAUUAUGCUAAAUAGGGCGCAUUUUAUGUAAUACGCAUAGUCAAGAGUUCCAAUUAGGUAUGUACCCUUGAAUUCCAUCUCAAUUUAACCCCUGUUAGAGUGACAUUUUAUUUUUAUUCGGAUAGCGAACAUUUCGUUUAGUGUUUGACGUGUUAUGCGAGUUAUAUUAAAUAUAACUAUUUGUAGCAAUCUUAUUUAUAUUUAAAAUCGACAGUCUUAUUGUUUUGUUCUUAACACAAAUGUAUAGUUUUAUUGCGCUCUUGAUGAAACUUUGUACACUUAUUGACAUUAAAAACAAGAGGGGAAGAUUGCUGUUUACUUUUCAUCUCGGAAUUCGACACCUAAAGGGUGGCUCACCCGUGAAUUUCGUACUUAUAAAAUACAAAUAUUGCAUUUAUUUAUUUUUUUAUUUCUACGUUACUUUACCACGUGGUUAAUUCGGUUGUAAAUAUUGUAGAAAAAAAAAAUGUUGUAUUCUAAAUUUCCAACGGACAGCACUCGUUUCGGGUUAUAAUGGAAGAAUAGAUUUGACUGUACUCGUAUGAUACGUACAACUGCAUGUGUUAAUGAUUAAACCAGACAAGUUUUUCUCACAUUUGUGUGUCACAUUAUCAAUCUGAAGAGUGUUGGUUAUGUGACAAGAAAAUUCGGCCCCCAAUAGUGUUUUUGAGGGUAAAACUACUAUCCACUUUUGAUUUUUAAUUGGCAACUUAUAUUAAAAAUUAUAUAAAUAGAUGGAUUAUUAAUUCGUUAUAUUCUCAGCUCACCGGAUAAUCUUUUAAUGACUGCAGGUAAUAAAUUUAUUUUUGAUUAUACUUAGUAGUAUUUAUCUUUAACUUUCUUUUUUAUUUUAAUUGUAGACUUUUAUAUAUUCUAUGUUAAUUGUAUUUUUGAUGCACAACUUUUUAGCACUUA
rnacentral:lncRNA from 1 species